rnacentral:pre_miRNA from 1 species
CGCGAGGAAAUAUGUUUCUAGCUGUUUUCUUUGCUUUGAGUAGUAAGUUCAUAAAUAUUUGAACCUUCGUUAGUUUUACUUGAGUCUGGAACCUGCAUUGAGUUCGUAUUUCCAUGUG